CUAGUGUCACUUUGGUAUUGGCUGUUAGUAACGAGACAUCACCAAUGUCGAAGAGUGGACCUUUACAAUCUUCGGGUAGGGUCCAUAUGACAUGGGUUAUUAUCAUUGUAUCCUCAGCAGUAAUAAUAUCAGUGGCUAUUGUUGUUUCUAUAACACUGUGUAUUAUGAAAUGCAUUAAACACAGAGAUAACACAGCAGCUGCUGCAACAAAGACUACAGCAUACCAAGGUAGAGCAGAGAUGAAACAAUUGUUGUACCAGACUAACACUUCUGUUGCUAUGUCAAGGAAUCCGGAAGAGAUGGUGAAAAGGAAUAUCUAUUCUGAGAGAUCCAAGAGUGAAUGUUAUGCAGAAGGUCAGCUACGGAACAAAUAUGAAUCUUCAGUUCAAAGCAGAACCCUUCCUAAACCAUCUUCAAAAUACAGUGAACCAGUUGUGGUAACAUCAAAUGAUGAUGCUGUGGAAGAUACCACAUCUGUUGUGUCGAACUAUCCAACUAACACCUUGUCGAGUCAGAGUAGCAGUCGUACUAAGCAUUAUGAAGAGAUACCGGUAACCUCAGGAAAUGAUACAUAUAAAAACAGUAUAACAUCAACACUAAACAGAAAUCAGAAUCAAGAGACCUACCCUAAACACGUGUGACAUAUGAUAGUUAAUACAACUCGUUUUUUUAGCUUUAAUGCAUACAAUAUCACAUUAUAGAAAAGCAUUCUACAUAUAUUAAUAGAUUUUACUCAAAUUGUGAUUUUGUUUUUCUCAAAAGAUAAAUAAGAUAAUACACAUGAUAUUUCAUACUGGUUACAUUCUCUAUAGCUUCUUUCCUUCCUUUGUCACUGAAAAAUAAUUGGUUAUAACAGCUAUGAAAGUUCUUAAGUAAAAUUUGUUCAAAAUGAUGAUACCCGUCAAUUAUAUAUUAUUUGAUGUGAACACUUACUGAAGUAAUUUUCUGUAAGAUUGUUACUGUCUCUCUGACAGAACAGGAUAGAGAAAAUGCAUUAUCAUACUUGUCAAAGCAACCCAAGUUUUAGAAUUGAAAAUAUGCAAUUUCCCCUUUAGAAAGCAAAAAUAUAUAUAAUCUACAACUUUUAUAGCUCACUAAAUGAAAGAGAGAAAAAUGACUUAUGAAUCUAAACUAAUUUAAAAAAUAAUUAUUAAAUUUCAGAUGUCAAGUUCAGGCAAAUAUUGAAAUAAUAUAUAUUUAAUCUUAUUAAAGCAUUUGGAAAAGUACCCUGCAGUAUUUCUUCCAACGCUCUACAUUGUGAGUUCAAAUCCUGCCAAGGUCGUCAUUGCUUUUCUUCCCUUCUGGGUUGAUAACAUACCAAUGAAACACUGGAAUUGAUUCAUCCAUUCUCUUCAAAUUUGCAGGCUUUGUACUUAAAUUAGAAACUUAUGAGAUAAUUCCCCUUACUUAUUUUGUAAUUUAAAGCUCAUUUGAAUAUCAGUUUUUCUCAUUUAUUACUUAGAAGUAUUGUUUUCCCUUUGACUGGUACAACUAUUAAACUUUUCUACUAAUUAUUCACAAUUGAUGAUUUUCAACCAAUGAAAUAUUUAGUCAGCCCAACAUUCCAUGUGUACACCAUUUGUGAUAUAAUCCCAUAUAAUCACACACGUGCACAAGAGAGUGAAGUUCAUAUACAAUUCCUGAUGGAUAAUUAAUUGAAAUAGCAUGCAAUACAUACACUUGCGUAUUGGGAUAUAUAUCUAAUUGCCUUGUAUAACAACAGGCUUUGAUCCACCACUUCAUCAACUUUACAACCAUUGUCACACUACAACAGCUACAAUUACAAUGGAUUUUCUUACUGCAGCGGAUGUUAAGUCUUUGGAUUUUACAACAAUGGAUUUUACAAUUAUUGUCAAUAAAUAUUCAACCAGUUGGUCACAUCUAAAAUGGUAGUUUGGAAGACUGCUCAACUCUGUGAAAUUUCUGACCCAACAACAGUAUCAAUUCAAGAAUGUAGUGAAAUAGGGAGAGAUACAAAACAUGAAGAAAUACCUGGAGUAUCAGGAGAUAAUACAUACCAAAAACAAUGCAGAAAAUACAUUACAAAAGCACCUUCUCCAAAAAAAAAUUAUCUGAAACAUAUAAACUUAUCUAACACUAACCAAUAUUUUCCCUCACUCCUGAAUUUUUCUUUCAAUCUUUCAACAUCAAAUAUAACCUUAGCAAAAGGAAAUAAUAACUAACUAUCUAUUGUUAUCAUUUACAUUUAUUGCUGUCAUAUCUCAGCAGUGUAUUUAAAAUGUGACUUUUACAUCGAACUACAGACUGCAAAUGUUUAAUCCUUCAGUUCCUAUCCAAGCUGUUUAGAAAGAGUUUUAGCUAAGUAUAUGGAUCCAUCCUUAUUUGCUCAACGAUAUACUUAUUUUUUGUAUUAUCUUAAUAAGUUUCCAAAUUAUCAAUAAAAUCUGAAAUAUGUUAAGCAUAUCUUCUCUUUAAAAAUAAUAAUAUAUUUCAAGAGAACAUUUUUCUACAAAAUAUUGUAAUUAUGAAGAAGUGAAUUUGUUACUUCUUUUCAAAUAAACACUUCUAUGAAGUUACAUAGACCCUUAUUUAAAGGUAGACUUAUCCAAAUUGAGUAAGAUAUCUAGUGAAAGGAACACAUAAAAAGAAAAAUAGACUUUAUUUUUGUAAAAUUUCAUGAGUGAAUAUUUACAUAUUCAUUAUUUUCAUUAAUGGAAUUGCCUGAAAUAAUGCAAGUUUUUUUUUUUUUUUGGCUAUUUUGGAAUGUUGUAAUAGUUAAAGUUUUAACUAUUUCAUAACAAGCAUUUAUAAAUUGAAGUUCAAUGAUUUUUUAAUAUUUAAUUUCUUUUUCUAGAAAAUUUGUUCUGAUCAUUGUUCAAUUUAAGAAUUUAAUGUUUUACCAAAUAAUAAGGAAAUAACAGAAUUAUUAAAUUAAAGGUUGUGCAUAUUUUUAUGAUGAUGUAGAUCAGCCAUCGAAAACAGACAUUAAUCAAAUCAAACUUUACAUAUCACUCCUUCGUUGUUUACAAGAUGAAGCAUGUUAAUUUGACUGAAAUCAGAAUUUCUCUCCCUUUUUUGCGUAGCUUUAAAAAAAAAUAAAAAUAAACAUUGAUUUACCAAAAAAUUUUAAAGAAUUUUGUCAAUUUAAAAAUAUUCAUUAAGAUUAUAAAUCCUGCUUUUACUUUUUUUCCCCUAAUUUGUAAAUAAAUUUCAGUUUAAAUUAAUCUAAUUAAUAUACUGAUGCGGUAUUUUACCUGAUAUUCACUAAAGCUAUCAAGCCAAUUAGUCGUACUCAGCAGAUGUAUCAAUUUUUUUGUUUGUUUUUGUUUGAAAUCUGAAAUAAAUAUUCAGCAGAUGAGUGAAACUAACAAUAUAUCCCGAUGAUGGGAAAACUCAUUCAAGCAUAUCCAUCUCAAAUCUCUAAAUGCAUGCUUACAUUUGCUCACGUACACAUAUUGACAAUAGAGGCACUGGCAUAAACGUAAGUGUUCCUACUGACUCACAGUUCCACUCCAUCAAUAUACAGCCAUUGUCAAACACACACACACACAUGCACACACACACACACACACACAGCUGCAGCUUCAAUGGACCUUUUCUGCUCUAACAAAAUUGAUGACUCUUGUUACACUGAGUAAUAAUGGAAUUAAAGAUUAAGGUUAGAUUCUAAGUACUCAGAUGAUCGUAAAGUGUUUCAAAACCAAAGAGAAUUAUGUGGUUCCCACCAUGGAUCAUCUUCUCACUGUUUCAUACAUGUCUUAGUAUAGACCUCACUUAUCAUAUAGAGGAAGAGAGAAGUCCAGGAACAUAUGUAGCAGACAUUGCUGCUGAUUCUAAACUGUUAGACAAUAUCAAAUCAGCUGAACAGCAAAUGGUAACAUUCAGUCAACUCAAAAGAAAAGUAACACAAUAUUUCAAUGUGACCAAAACAGGAAAACUUUACACUUCUCAGAAACUUGAUGCUGAAUCACUUUGUACAUACAACAAAGAAUGUUCUAGGAUUAUUAAAAUUGUUGUUCGGAAAACAAAGUCAUUUACAAAAAUAUUGAAAAUCAAAAUUGUAAUAAAAGAUAUAAAUGAUCAUGCACCAGAAUUUCCUGAAAAACAAAUAAUUUUACAGUUUGGGGAAGGAGAUCGAGAAGGUAUGAAAAAGUCAGUUCCAAAUGCCAUAGACAAGGAUAUCAGUUACCAAAAUUCUUUCAUUGAAUAUAAACUUAAAAAGUCUGAUGAUUCAUUUUCCCUGUCAGUUUCUAAAAGAGCUGAUGGUAUUUCAUCAUUAAAGAUUGUUUUAAAAGAUAAAUUAGACCGAGAGAUAAAAGAUAAAUAUAAUUUAGAAGUUAUUGCUAAAGAUGGAGGUUCUCCAUCUAAACAGAGUGUGUUAAAUGUUGUGAUUGUUGUUGAAGAUGAGAAUGAUAAUCCACCUGUAUUUUCAAAACCACUCUAUAAUAUUUCCAUCAGAACCACACACGACAAGACAAAACCUAUUCUUACUUUGUCAGUAACCGACAAAGAUAUUGGAUCCAACAGUAAAAUUACUUUCCAUUUCAGCCCCAAAACUUCCAGCCAAGC